rnacentral:misc_RNA from 1 species
UUUCCGUAGGUGAACCUGCGGAAGGAUCAUUAUUGAAUUUAGUUAGUGGGAGUUGUCGCUGGCUCUCUCGGGAGCAUGUGCACACUUCUACGUCUAAUAUCAUCCACCUGUGCACUUCUUGUAGACUUGGGAUAUCUCUCAAAAUGGAUUCUUCCAGUUUGGAUGUAAAGAUUGUUGGUAGGCCCAGCUCUCUUUAAAUUUCCUCAAGUCUAUGUCUUUAUAUACACUCUAUUAUGAAUGAAUGAAUGAAACAAAAUAAAACUAAAUACAACUUUCAACAAUGGAUCUCUUGGUUCUC